rnacentral:tRNA from 2 species
CGGGGUGUAGCGCAGCCUGGUAGCGCGUCUGGUUUGGGACCAGAAGGUCCAAGGUUCAAAUCCUUGCACCCCGACCA